ACUGUAAUUUUUGCGCAAGACAAUUUCCAGCUAUUUCAAGCAUCAACAUUGUCAAAGUUGUAUGUACAUAAUAAAUGGUAAUAUCAAUGCAUAGUUUUUAGCAUAACAUCUUGACUCCGCGAUAAUUAUAUCCGUUUGGAGCCUACGCAAAAUUAGCCUGAAUUGCAUGCUAUAAAGAGGGAAAAUAAAGCAGGAUUUUUCAUUCCUGCUCGGAGAGCGUCUGUCAGCUCUGAGCCCAGCUAGAGGAGCCACAUUCUGGGACCCAAAGAGCCGAACCCAUGCCAUGACUGCUGGAUUCUCUUUUCACAUUCUUCUGCUUCUCUCGAGAGUGAUUUUAGACGUCUUAUAGGCUACUAUUGACGCCGCCAAUCUUUGUGUUCUGCUUUACUGAACAUUAUAAGCUUCAGCUGAUGGGUCUCUUCAGCUCUUGUUCAGCAUUGGGAAAACAUGCAAACAAAGAUGUCUGCAGAGCUGGCCAGUGGUUCACACCUGUAGAUGGAACACAACAUGUUCUCUCCAGCCAUGAGCUCUUUCUGCAGGCCACUGCUGUUUUGGAUUUCCUGUUUGGAUAUAUUAUUUUAUUGACACUGUAUUAGAACAAAUAAUAUUAUGCUAAAUUAUAUCAUGUCAUGUUUGCUGAAAAAAUAAAUAAAUCGCAGUGUUAAAUCCGC